rnacentral:snRNA from 1 species
AUACUCUGAUUUCACUUCAGAUCAAAGAAAUCUUUUGCCUCUUACUAAAAA